UGGUUUUUGAUAUUGAAUAAAACAGGAUUG
rnacentral:piRNA from 1 species